AGCUCCAAUAGCGUAUAUUAAAGCUGUUGCGGUUAAAAAGCUCGUAGUUGGAUUUCUGUCAAGGACAACUGGUCCGCCCUCCGGGUGAGCACAUAGUUUGGUCUUGGCAUCUUGUUCAAAGCUGAUACUGCUCUUCACUGGGUGGUGCAGUUUUGGGCACUUUCACUUUGAGGAAAUUGGAGUGUUUCAAGCAGGCACAUGCCUUUGGACACAGUAGCAUGGAAUAAUUAGAUUGGGCUUUUGCUCCAACUUGUCGGUUCCUGGAGCUGAGGUGAGAAUCAAUGGGGAUUGUUGGGGGCAUCUGAAUUUAGCCGUCAGAGGUGAAAUUCUUGGAUCUGCUAAAGACGGACAACUGCGAAAGCGUUUGCCCAGGAUGUUUUCA
rnacentral:rRNA from 1 species